rnacentral:rRNA from 1 species
GACGAACGCUGGCGGCGUGCUUAACACAUGCAAGUCGAACGGAAAGGCCUGCUUUCCCUUGUGGAUUGCGGGUACUCGAGUGGCGAACGGGUGAGUAACACGUGAGUGAUCUGCCCCCAACUUGGGUAUAAGCCUGGGAAACUGGGUCUAAUUCCCGAUAGGACGGCAGGGUGGUGCCUGUGGUGGAAAACGAUUUUCUAGUGGUUGGGGAUGAGCUCGCGGCCUAUCAGCUUGUUGGUGGGGUAAUGGCCUACCAAGGCGGCGACGGGUAGCCGGCCUGAGAGGGUGGACGGCCACAUUGGGACUGAGAUACGGCCCAGACUCCUACGGGAGGCAGCAGUGGGGAAUAUUGCACAAUGGGCGGAAGCCUGAUGCAGCGACGCCGCGUGGGGGAUGACGGCCUUCGGGUUGUAAACUCCUUUCGACCGCGAGGAAGCCACCUGGUUGGAAGGGUGGUGACGGUAGUGGUAGAAGAAGCACCGGCUAACUACGUG